GGGCCCGCACAAGCGGUGGAGUAUGUGGUUUAAUUCGAUGCAACGCGAAGAACCUUACCAGGGUUUGACAUCCUGCGAAUCUCUUGGAAACGAGAGAGUGCCUUCGGGAGCGCAGUGACAGGUGCUGCAUGGUUGUCGUCAGCUCGUGCCGUGAGGUGUCAGGUUAAGUCCUAUAACGAGCGCAACCCCUAUCGUUAGUUGCCAGCGAGUAAUGUCGGGAACUCUAACGAAACUGCCAGUGCAAACUGUGAGGAAGGUGGGGAUGACGUCAAAUCAUCACGGCCCUUACGUCCUGGGCUACACACGUGCUACAAUGGUCGGUACAGAGAGCAGCCACUACGCGAGUAGGAGCGAAUCUUUAAAACCGGUCUCAGUUCGGAUCGCAGUCUGCAACUCGACUGCGUGAAGCUGGAAUCGCUAGUAAUCGCGCAUC
rnacentral:rRNA from 1 species